CACCUAACGACACAAAGUCUCACA
rnacentral:siRNA from 1 species